GGGGUGGUGUGGGGUAGAAGGCUGCGGAGCAGUGAUUGGCUCCGCGGCGAGCAGGGCGGGACCAAGCCCGGCCCUGGGCGUUGAUUGGUCACCGCAAGACGGCCCACCCAAGCUCUUCCAGGGUACCAAGGUUUUCGGGAAUCACUCAUAGGCUACGAGCGCGUCGGCUGGCUCCGUGCUGCUAUUGGCUGCUGACUUGGCGCAGGCGCUGUGGCCCCUGCGUUGGCGUUCGCGGUUGCGGAGGCAGGGCUUUGGCCACUGGAGACCAUAGGUUCGAAUCCCGUCUGGGAACUUCAAUUUGCGCCACCUGUAAAGAAGCUGGCAUUAUUGGCUAGCACAGAAUGUGUCGGUGAUCUCUGCACCCAACGUGGGGCCCGAACUCACAACCCCGAGAUCAAGAGUCGCGUGCCCUUCUGACUGAGCCUGUCGGGCACCCCUAACUGGUUCUUCCUGAUACCCUCUUACUGAGACAUCCCUUGGCUCCCAUGGUGUGUAUUCUCCCUCACCGAAAUGAAUAAUGAACCCUACUUGUUCAACUACAGGGGAAGCCAGCCACCAUGUUGUGAGGACACUCAAGCAGCCGCAUGGAGAGAUCUAUGUACCAAAGAACUGAGGCACCCCAGCCAAAAGCCAUCGCUAAAUUGCCAGCAAUGCUCCAGCCCAGUCGCAUGCUCUACUGACUGAGCCAGCCAGGCAUCCUGUAACCUUCUUCUCUUAAAAAAAAAAAAUGGUGGGGGGUCAGGAAGAAAGGACUGCAGUGUCCCAGACGGUGAGGUCUCCAUCUGGUUGUCGGCACACAUCCAAGGAUGUGAACACCUCUCUGAGUGUGUGUCUGAUGGUGGGAGGUCUCUGCUCCGUGUGCGGGUGCAUGGACCAGGGUGUGAGGUCUCUGAUCUCUGUAAUAGUGUGUGUCCCAGAAUUUGUGGGCCCAGCCGUUUUGGGGUAUAUGGUCGUAGGAGAGGAGAAGCUGGGUUUUGUAGAUAGUGCCCAGGAUGUGAAUUCUCUGAACUGUCAUGCGUGUGUUCACGGUGUAAGGAUUCUGACCUCUUCGUGUGUGUGCUUUCCUUUUGCUCGAUCUGUUUCUGGGAUUAUGUCCUAGAAUGCGAGCCUUCUGGAUCUGUUUGUUUGUCUCUGUCUCGUGGUGUGGAAGCCUCUGGUAUGCUUGCUGGUGACUGAAGCAUGAAUGAAGCAGGGCGUCUAUCCCAUGAUGGGAAUUCCCUCAUCUGUUUGUGGGUACUUGUCUGAUAACGUGAAGCGUUUGAUCUUUUCACUGGUGAAUGAACAGGGGUAUGGGGUGUCUGACUUGUUUGAUGUUUCUGGUGUUUUUAUCCAGGUGAGUUCUUUGAUCUCUUUGUCGAUGUGUGUGCCAGGAUGUGAGAUCUGUGAUGUUCUGUGAAUGCGCAUCCCAGCGUGUUAGGUCUCUGAGCUGUUUGCGGGUGUUACGUUCCAGGUCAUCAGUUGUCUGAUGCCUUAUGGGGACAUUUGCAAGCGUUUCUGAUUUGUUUGUUGGUGUAGAGGCCACGAAGUGCCGUUCUUAUCUGUUAAGGUCUAUAUAUCCAGGGUUUGAGAUUUCUAAGCUCAUUCUGGUUGUGUUUCAGAUAGGAGGCCUCUGAUCCAGUGGUGCGUACAUGGCCCACGUUUUGCCAGCUCUCUGAUGUUUCUCAGUGUAUUUCUGUCCAUGUGCAGACUUUUACCUCUUUAUGGGAGGAUCUCUGUUUGUGGGCCCGUAUCCCAGGAUCUGAGCUCUCUGAUCUCGAGACUAUAAGCCCCAAGAUUUCAGGUGUCCAAAUUUAUCUGGAUGCGUUUACCAGCGUGUGGGGUCCAUAACCUGUUGGUUGGUUCAUGUCGCAGGAUGGAAGGUGUCUGGUGUGGUUUGGGUUGUGUUUCUCAGAUCAGGUCUUUGAUCUGAUGGUGCAUGUACGUCACAUAGGGGAGUGUGUCAUCUCCUUGGGUGCGUUGGUAAAGGGCAUGAGGUCUGUUCUCUUUGUGUUUCUGUGUCCCAGUGUGUGAGGUCCCUGGUGUGUGUGUGUGUGUGUGUGUGUGUGUGUGUGUGUGUGAGUGUGAGUGUGUGAAUGUGGGCUGCUUUUCUGCUCUUUUGGUGUGUGUGUGUCUCAGAGUUAGAGGUCUGGUCUGUUUGGGGGUCCUAGAAUGUGGGUCCCUGAUCUUUGUGUAGGUGUAUAUCCCAUCGUAAUCAGGUUCCUAUUCUCUUUGGGUGUGUAUGUCCCAGAGAGUGGGUUCUCUUCUAUCUUUGUAGGUUUAAUUCCCAGAGUGUGAGGACUCUAGGCAUCAUCUGGUGUAUGUCUCAGAAUGUAGCUAGCUCUCUCACAGUCUGCAGGUAUGUCCCAGGGUGGAAGGUCUCUGAUCUCUUUGGAGGUGUGGAACUCCAGAUGUGAAGUCUUCAAGCACUUCAUGUGCCUGUGUCCCAGGAGGUGAGCUUUCUCUUUGUGCACGUGUGUUCUGUCUUGUCAAAUAAUGGAUCGCCAAAUACGUGCUCACCCCAUUCCUGGACCUUGUUAAUAUGUUGUCUUACUGGAGAAAGGGAUCUUGCAGAUAUGUAUUAAGGGAGCACCGUGAGAUGGAGCGGUUAUCCUGGAUUCCCCGGGAGGACCCAUUCUAAUCACAAAUGUCUCUAUGUGAGGGAGGUAGGACCUUUAGGAAUCACAGAAAACUAAGUGGCUAUGGACAUUGAGACGGGGGCCGUGGGAUGAUGGAAGUAGUCACAGAAAGCAAUGUGAUGGCAAAAGCAGAGGUCAGAGAGGGAGAGAAAGAAAGAGAUUUGAAGCUGAAACAAUGAAUCCUCUGGUCUCUUCAUGGGUUAUGCCGUAAGAUGUCAUGUCUACCAUCUGGUGUAUUUUCUGGGUGCAUUUUUCAGCUUGUGGUGUGUCUGACUUGAUUGUGGAUUUGAAGUCUCUGGUCUGUCUUUUUGUUUUCUGUGCUCCAGAAUGUGGGCUCCCUGAGCUGUUUGUCCACGUGUGUGUGGCUGUCUUCCAGGAUUUAGGGGCACCGAUACAUUUCUGAGUGUGUGUCUCAGGAUCUGUAUUCUCUCUGCGGGGAGAGUCCCUGAUAUGAGGUCUCUGAUUUGUUCGUUGUGUGUGUUCCAGGGUGUGAGGUUUGUGAAUGGUCUGGGGGUGCGUUUUGCAGGACUUUAUGUCUGGGAACUCUUCGAGGGUGUGUGUCCUAGGAUGUGAGGUUUCUCAUCCGUUUCUGUGCCUGUUUCCCAGCAUGUGAGGUCUGUGAGCAUUUUGUCACUCUGUGUCCCAGGAUGUGAUAUCUCCGAUCUCUUUAUGUGUAUUGUCAAACAUUUAAGGUCUCUAAUCUUUUUGUGGAUGAAUUCGCCAGGAUAUUUUAGUGUAUUUCCUGGAAUGUGCCUCUCUCUGCUCUUUUUUUUUUUUUUUUUUCCAGAUUUUAUUUAUUUGACAGAGACAGCGAGAGAGGGAACACAAGCAGAGGGAGCGGGAGAGGGAGAAGCAGGCUUCCCGCCGAGCAGGGAGCCCAAUGCGGGGCUCAAUCCCAAGACCCUGGGACCCUGACCUGAGCCGAAGGCAGCCACUCAGCGACUGAGCCACCCAGGGUCAACUGUAUACCUGGCCUGUCCCCAGUGUCCUGCAAGUCUGGAGGAAGAGGCAGCCAACAUAAGGCAUGUCUACGUCCUACUCCAGAGUGUGCGUGUUCCGAGUAGUAAAAGGCGCUCCUCCUGGUCAGACACUGCUUGGUGGUAAGCUGAACCCUUGCGAAACGAGAAGUGGAGCCUUUCCAGGUGACGCAACCCUAUGCUCAAGUACAUGGCCUGAUAAAAGGAACUCUGCCUGCAUUUCGGUUCCCGCCUCCCUCUUUGCCAGGUACCCUUAAGAAGGCAACCCAGUCCAGAAGUAUUCCGCUGCGCUUUCAACUACCAGCUGGAAACGCACGCCCCUGCCAGGAAGUCCCUGUCACACUCAGGCCAACCGCCCCCACCUUUCCCCGGACAGGAAAAUCAGGGAAGCGGCAGGCACACAGUGAGGCGAGCUGGGCGCACGCGGUGGGAGCACGUGGCCGAAGAGCUGCCCGCGCGCGCGCGCGCGCGCACGUCGGGGCCCGGCUCCCUACCUCUCCCACGUACUCCAUGACGAAGCUGUUCUUGCGGAUCUUCUCCAGCGUGCGGACGCCCCAGCCGCGCCCGUCGUCCGUGCGGAAGAUGCAGAGGUCAUAGCGGAUGCCCUUCUGCACCACGCGGUUGGGGCAGUCAUAGCCGCAGCGGCAGCGGGAGUUGCACUCGUAGAUGGGCAGGCCGGCGCGCAGCCGCACCUGACCCUGGUCGUUGUAGGCAAACUUGUGCAGGGACGCCCCGGGGCAGCAGCCUCCAGCGGGGGCCCACAGACAGUCCUGGCACUCGCAGCCCACCGCCACCUGGUUGAGGGUGAUGCCCUCACCCACACGGUACUCGUUGAUGUAUACGAAAGCCCGCGGGGGGCCGUCCAGGUCCACCUCGUUCUCCACGGUGAUGCGUCCCAGGUGGCUGCGCUUGGCAUUGAGCUCCUGCUCCCAGCGCCGGAGCGCCCGCCUCUGCUUGGCCUUCUGUACCAGGUAGUUGGCCAAGCUUGGGUCCAGGUGCCGGGGGGGCUUUGACCGGUGGUGCCGCCGGAGCAGCUCCCUUUCUAAGUCCUUGUGGAACUGCUUGAGAAUGCGCACGCACUUGAGAUUCUGCCGUGGCUCCCAGGUGCUCUCGGAGUCUGGGUAUCCACGCCAUUUUACCAGGUACUCGACUUCAAAGUCAUAGAGAUUCCUCUUGGAGAUGCCGAGGGCAGGGCAGGAGAGCUUGGCCAGGCGGCACAGGUCCUGUAGCUGAUUCCAAGAAGACUUGCAACACACGCUGCAGCCUAGAACACGGAGAGCAGAAAGAACUUAAUGGGCAUCCUGGCGAAGCCAUGGGUCAAAGGGGACCCCAAAUCCUCUCUGGGACUUCCAAAGGAUUGCCUCAGAGUCAGUGAGAUUUAAUCCACAGGUCUUCCCAAUGCUGACACCCUUCUACAACAAAAAUGUGCCACUUCUUCAACCCCAGUGCUCAUUCCAAGGCUACCCCUGGAGCAGUAGACCUCAAAGUGGGAUCUGCUGGAUGGAUUAUCCUAAAGGAAUCUAUUCCCAGAGCUUCCAACUCCCUCCAUACUAUUCCUAAAACUGCCCGCAAACGGGCCUAGGGUUCAGGACCUAAUCAUCCCUCUCCCCACUUUGCAAAAUAAAGAGAACAACCCCCCCCCAUCUCAGUAGGGUGCAUUGCCCCAGGGGAACUGGUGGGGAUGGGAUUACAACCUGUAGGCACCAAACAAAGGCUUAACUGGAAAGACUGGUCCGGAAUCCCUUAUCUGAAACUCCUGGGGCUAGUUGUGUUUAGGAAUUCAGAUUUUUUUUUUUUUUUUUUUUUUUUUUUAAUUUUUACAAGUGUAGUUCUAGGUAUGCCCCAGACACUACCUAACACCCCCAGUGUGGUCAGGGGCAUCAAGCCAUAAUCAAACACAUUAAUAAUUCUGCAGCAAAAAAUCUGAAUUUUUACAUUAAAUAGGAGAAAUAAAGAGGCAAGAUAGUCCCACCUUAUCAUGUAGUUUUGCCACUGAAUGGUGCCAAACUUAAGUUUUCAGAAUUAGGAAGAAGAGAUUGUGGAAUGGUAUUAGAUUUCAGGAAGCUUCCUUGAAUGAUUAGCCUGGGUCCCUUAAACCUGCAAGGUAUAUUUUUUCACACUGCAUUUUGGCUGUCUCAUCUACAUUUCUGUGAAGGGUAAAGCCCACCCAAAGGAGUAUGCUCUGAAUUCAGGAACCAGCAAAACAGCAUAGGUUACUGACGAUUCUUUUAAAUAUACCUGGAAUGUUUCUGGGGCUAUCAGAAAUUUUCAAGAUGCGGAUUUUUUAAAAAAGAAUUCUGAUUCAAGGCACAAUGUGCUUUAGAAGCCAUUUUAUCAAAUCAUUCCAUAGAACACUCAUUCCAAAUGCAGUCAGUCCUCAUCCUAUCUUUAAUAUUUCCUACCUCCCAUUACAAAAAUCAAACAUCGGAACUCAUAAUGAAAUACUCUAGACGUCAACCUGAAAAC